rnacentral:misc_RNA from 1 species
GAUGAAGAACGCAGCGAGAUGCGAUAAGUAGUGUGAAUUGCAGAAUUCAGUGAAUCAUCGAAUCUUUGAACGCACAUUGCGCCCCUUGGUAUUCCAUGGGGCAUGCCUGUUCGAGCGUCAUUUGUACCUUCAAGCUUUGCUUGGUGUUGGGUGUUUGUCCUGAGGGACUCGCCUUAAAGUAAUUGGCAGCCAGUGUUUGGUUUUGAAGCGCAGCACAAGUCGCGAUUCAAGGCUAUACACCAGCUUCCACAAGCCUUUUUCACUUUUGACCUCGGAUCAGGUAGGGAUACCCGCUGAACUUAAGCAUAUCAAUAAGCGGAGGA